rnacentral:snRNA from 1 species
GUGCUCGCUUCGGUAUCACCUACACUAAAAUCGGAACGAUACAGAGAAGAUUAGCAUGGUCCCUGCAAGGAUGACACGCAAAUUCAUGAAGCAUUCCUAUUAAAA